ACGGAGGAUGCAAGCGUUGUUCGGAAUUAUUGGGCGUAAAGGGCGUGUAGGCGGUUAGCUAAGUCAGAUGUGAAAUCCCUAGGCUUAACUUAGGAACUGCAUUUGAUACUGGUUGGCUAGAGUACGGGAGAGGAAGGUGGAAUUCCUGGUGUAGAGGUGAAAUUCGUAGAUAUCGGGAAGAACACCGGUGGCGAAGGCGGCCUUCUGGCCCGAUACUGACGCUGAGACGCGAAAGCGUGGGGAGCAAACAG
rnacentral:rRNA from 1 species